CAGCUGAAGCCUCCUCUCAGUUUUCAUCGGUGAAAGCAGUGUUUGGCGCAGUCCAAGGAUCUCUCAACUCUUUUCUUUUAUUCCUUUGAGGCGCACGCCGUAAAGGGACAUGGGCAACAGCCUCCACGGUAUUCAGAUAACCAUUCCACGGAUCAAGCAUGAUGUCUAGUAGGUACUUCCUCCUCAUUAUAGCCAUGUCUUCUUGCAUGCAUUAAUGUUCAAUGUCACCAAACAAUAAUAUCAUAAAAAAUAUUAGAAACAUUGUUCUAAA